rnacentral:rRNA from 1 species
UUGCUGCUUUGCUGACGAGUGGCGGACGGGUGAGUAAUGUCUGGGAAACUGCCUGAUGGAGGGGGAUAACUACUGGAAACGGUGGCUAAUACCGCAUAACGUCGCAAGACCAAAGAGGGGGACCUUCGGGCCUCUUGCCAUCAGAUGUGCCCAGAUGGGAUUAGCUUGUUGGUGAGGUAACGGCUCACCAAGGCGACGAUCCCUAGCUGGUCUGAGAGGAUGACCAGCCACACUGGAACUGAGACACGGUCCAGACUCCUACGGGAGGCAGCAGUGGGGAAUAUUGCACAAUGGGCGCAAGCCUGAUGCAGCCAUGCCGCGUGUAUGAAGAAGGCCUUCGGGUUGUAAAGUACUUUCAGCGGGGAGGAAGGUGUUGUGGUUAAUAACCGCAGCAAUUGACGUUACCCGCAGAAGAAGCACCGGCUAACUCCGUGCCAGCAGCCGCGGUAAUACGGA